AACGAACGCUGGCGGCAGGCCUAACACAUGCAAGUCGAGCGUGAAAGGGGCUUCGGCCCUGAGUAAAGCGGCGCACGGGUGAGUAACACGUGAAUAAUCCGCCCCCAUGACCGGGAUAACAGACCGAAAGGACUGCUAAGACCGGAUAAGCUUCCGCGCCAACCGGGCGAGUGGAGAAAAAGACGGGACCUUCGGGCCGUCUGCAUGGGGAUGAGUUCGCGUUCCAUUAGAUAGUUGGUGAGGUAAUGGCCCACCAAGUCGACGAUGGAUAGCUGGUCUAAGAGGAUGAUCAGCCACACUGGAACUGAGACACGGUCCAGACUCCUACGGGAGGCAGCAGUGGGGAAUCUUGCGCAAUGGAGGAAACUCUGACGCAGCCAUGCCGCGUGAGUGAAUGAAGGCCUUCGGGUUGUAAAGCUCUGUCUGAGGGGACGAAUGCCGUUGAGUCCAACAGGCUUGACGGGUGACGGUACCCUCAAAGAAAACACCGGCUAACUCCGUGCCAGCAGCCGC
rnacentral:rRNA from 1 species